rnacentral:rRNA from 1 species
AACGGGCGUUGGUAACUAUAACCAUCCUAAGGUAGCGAAAUUCCUUGUCGGGUAAGUUCCGACCUGCACGAAUGGCGUAAC